GAUGAACGCUGGCGGCGUGCCUAAUACAUGCAAGUCGAGCGAACAGACGAGGAGCUUGCUCCUCUGACGUUAGCGGCGGACGGGUGAGUAACACGUGGAUAACCUACCUAUAAGACUGGGAUAACUUCGGGAAACCGGAGCUAAUACCGGAUAAUAUAUCGAACCGCAUGGUUCAAUAGUGAAAGACGGCUUUGCUGUCACUUAUAGAUGGAUCCGCGCCGUAUUAGCUAGUUGGUAAGGUAACGGCUUACCAAGGCAACGAUGCGUAGCCGACCUGAGAGGGUGAUCGGCCACACUGGAACGGAGACACGGCCCAGACUCCUACGGGAGGCAGCAGUAGGGAAUCUUCCGCAAUGGGCGAAAGCCUGACGGAGCAACGCCGCGUGAGUGAUGAAGGUCUUCGGAUCGUAAAACUCUGUUAUUAGGGAAGAACAAAUGUGUAAGUAACUGUGCACGUCUUGACGGUACCUAAUCAGAAAGCCACGGCUAACUACGUG
rnacentral:rRNA from 1 species